rnacentral:misc_RNA from 1 species
AAUGAGCGGACAUUUCAGAUAUCCUAUUCGGCUAAUCCGAUCCAUAUACCAAACCACAUUUAGAGGCUAUGCAAAACCUGAAAGAUUCAAAUGGUGCCAAGAGGAAUUAAAUGCUGUGCCUAAGGCAGUUCUUGCCGAUGGAAAAGAGAUUCCGAUUAUAGGACUGGGAACAUGGAAUAGCCCUCCUGGACAAGUGGUUGAGGCGGUUAAGACAGCCAUUGAUGUUGGCUAUCGGCACAUUGAUUGUGCCUAUGUCUAUCAGAACGAAGCUGAGGUCGGUGCUGGCAUUGAGGCCAAAAUCAACGAAGGCGUUGUCAAGCGCGAGGAUUUGUUCAUCACCAGCAAGCUAUGGAACACAUUUCAUCGUCCAGCCGCUGUGAGGGCUGCUUGUGAGAAUACAUUGGAUUUGUUGAAGCUGAAGUACCUAGAUCUAUACUUGAUUCACUGGCCAAUGGGUUACAGGGAGGGCUGCGAUCUGUUCCCAGUUGAUAAAGAUGGCAAAACUCUGUUCUCGCCAGACGAUUACGUAGACACCUGGAAGGCCAUGGAGAAGCUCGUUGAAGACGGUCUAGUUAAGUCCAUUGGCGUUUCCAACUUCAACAAGAACCAAAUUGAGCGCGUGCUGGAGGUUGCAAAAAUACCCCCAGCCACAAAUCAAAUCGAAUGCCAUCCGUAUUUAACCCAAAAGAAACUUUCCGAUUUUUGCAAAGCAAAGAAUAUUGCCAUUACCGCAUACAGCCCUUUGGGCAGCCCGAACCGUCCUUGGGCCAAGGAGGGUGAUCCCGUGAUUCUAGAGGAACAAGCCAUUAAGGACAUUGCUGAAUCAAAGAAAAAGACACCUGGACAGAUUCUGAUACGCUAUCAGAUCCAGCGCAAUAACAUUGUUAUACCAAAGUCUGUGACCAAGGAACGUAUCGAAUCGAACUUUAAAGUUUUUGAUUUCGUUUUAACACCUGAGGAAAUCAAAACAAUUGAAAGUUUCGAAUGUAAUGGACGCCUGGUGCCACUGCUCAAAGAUGCUGGCGGUCAUAAAUAUUAUCCAUUUCACGACGAAUAUUAAAUUAAAUCACAAGAAAUCUUUCUAACCGUAUGAGACAUAUGAUAUAUGAACACACAUAAUUAAGUAAAUAUUUCUGGCGAAACUAACAGCGCGAAAUCCGAGAAGCACAGACCCAAUACGGUCAUCCACACCAUCCAUUUGAGAAGGACGAGUUCUGAUUGAAGUCUAUGGUGACAAUAUUUCUAUACAAUAAUCCCUACACUUAUGUACAUGUGGUAUAAAUAAAAUGUUGAAAGAAUAAA